rnacentral:rRNA from 1 species
GAUGAACGCUGGCGGUGUGCCUAAUACAUGCAAGUCGAACGGGCUCUUCGGAGCUAGUGGCGGACGGGUGAGUAACACGUUGGUACCUACCCCUAAGUGGGGAAUAACUGCCCGAAAGGGUGGCUAAUACCGCAUAAUCCCGCAAGGGUAAAGCAGUAAUGCGCUUAGGGAGGGGCCUGCGUCUGAUUAGCUAGUUGGUAGGGUAAUUGCCUACCAAGGCGACGAUCAGUAGCUGGAUCGAGAGGUUGACCAGCCACACUGGGACUGAGAUACGGCCCAGACUCCUACGGGAGGCAGCAGUAAGGAAUCUUCCACAAUGGACGAAAGUCUGAUGGAGCAACACCGCAUGCAGGAUGACGGUCUUCGGAUUGUAAACUGCUUUUAUAUGGGAAGAUUAUGACGGUACCAUAUGAAUAAGGACCGGCUAACUACGUGCCAGCCGCCGCUGUAA